AUUGAACGCUGGCGGCAGGCCUAACACAUGCAAGUCGAACGAGUGGCGGACGGGUGAGUAACCCGUGGGAACGUGCCUUUAGGUUCGGAAUAACUCAGGGAAACUUGUGCUAAUACCGAAUGCCUUUAGAGCGGCACGCGUCUGAUUAGCUAGUUGGUGAGGUAAAGGCCCACCAAGGCGACGAUCAGUAGCUGGUCUGAGAGGAUGACCAGCCACACUGGAACUGAGACACGGUCCAGACUCCUACGGGAGGCAGCAGUGGGGAAUAUUGCACAAGGGGCGCAAGCCUGAUGCAGCCAUGCCGCGUGUAUGAAGAAGGCCUUCGGGUUGUAAAGUACUUUCAGCGGGGAGGCGUUACCCGCAGAAGAAGCACCGGCUAACUCCGUGCCAGCAGCCGCGGUAAUAC
rnacentral:rRNA from 1 species